CCAAGCUGUCCCUUUGUGAAAGCAAGUGGCAUUUGAAGGAUACCACCACUUGGGGCAAAGUGCAGCUUUACACCAGUGUUCUGGCUCUGGGAAAAUGAGGACAUCUGCCUUUAUGCACAUGCAGCUGCUCUCUCUGCAGAGCAGAAUCCUGCACCCCACCCCAACACGCUGGAAAGUUGGCCAAGCAUGGAGACUUUCUUUGGCACAGACAUUUUCAACUGGAAUGGUUACAGCUGCUAUAGCGUGCUGCCUUUUGAGCUGAUGCACAGUUUUCCCUUGCCUGUCUUCACUUCCAAUCCCUUGUCUUAAACAAUGUUGAGCCAAGUCUGAAGCAGA